rnacentral:rRNA from 1 species
AACGCUAGCUACAGGCUUAACACAUGCAAGUCGAGGGGCAGCAUGAUUGAAGCUUGCUUCAAUUGAUGGCGACCGGCGCACGGGUGAGUAACACGUAUCCAACCUUCCGUACACUCAGGGAUAGCCUUUCGAAAGAAAGAUUAAUACCUGAUGGUAUCUUAAGCACACAUGUAAUUAAGAUUAAGGAUUUAUCGGUGUACGAUGGGGAUGCGUUCCAUUAGGUAGUAGGCGGGGUAACGGCCCACCUAGCCUACGAUGGAUAGGGGUUCUGAGAGGAAGGUCCCCCACAUUGGAACUGAGACACGGUCCAAACUCCUACGGGAGGCAGCAGUGAGGAAUAUUGGUCAAUGGACGAGAGUCUGAACCAGCCAAGUAGCGUGAAGGAUGAAGGUCCUACGGAUUGUAAACUUCUUUUAUAAGGGAAUAAAACCUCCCACGUGUGGGAGCUUGUAUGUACCUUAUGAAUAAGCAUCGGCUAACUCCGUGCCAGCAGCCGCGGUAAUACGGAGGAUGCGAGCGUUAUCCGGAUUUAUUGGGUUUAAAGGGAGCGCAGACGGGUCGUUAAGUCAGCUGUGAAAGUUUGGGGCUCAACCUUAAAAUUGCAGUUGAUACUGGCGUCCUUGAGUGCGGUUGAGGUGUGCGGAAUUCGUGGUGUAGCGGUGAAAUGCUUAGAUAUCACGAAGAACUCCGAUUG